CCUACGGGUGGCAGCAGUGGGGAAUAUUGCACAAUGGGCGAAACCCUGAUGCAGCGACGCCGCGUGAGUGAAGAAGUAUCUCGGUAUGUAAAGCUCUGUCAGCCGGGAAGAAAAUGACGGUACCUGACCAAGAAGCCCCGGCUAACUACGUGCCAGCAGCAGCGGUAAUACGUAGGGGGCAAGCGUUAUCCGGAUUUACUGGGUGUAAAGGGAGCGUAGACGGCAGGGCAAGUCUGGAGUGAAAGGCGGGGGCUCAACCCCCGGACUGCUCUGGAAACUGCCAGGCUGGAGUGCAGGAGAGGUAAGUGGAAUGCCGAGUGUAGCGGUGAAAUGCGUAGAUAUCAGGAGGAACACCAGUGGCGAAGGCGGCUUACUGGACUGUAACUGACGUUGAGGCUCGAAAGCGUGGGGAGCAAACAGGAUUAGAUACCCUUGUAGUC
rnacentral:rRNA from 1 species